rnacentral:rRNA from 1 species
UACGUAGGGACCAAGCGUUGUUCGGAUUUACUGGGCGUAAAGGGCGCGUAGGCGGCAAUUCAAGUCAUCUGUGAAAUCUCUGGGCUUAACUCGGAACGGUCAGAUGAUACUGCUUUGCUAGAGUGCGGAAGGGGCAAUCGGAAUUCUUGGUGUAGCGGUGAAAUGCGUAGAUAUCAAGAGGAACCCCCGAGGUGAAGACGGGUUGCGGGGACGACACUGGCGCUGAUAGCGCGAAAGCGAGGGGAGCAAACGGG